rnacentral:lncRNA from 1 species
AGGCUGUGAAGAAUGGGUGGAAUUUCCUUUAGCUCGGGACAACGAUACACACACAACUGUACAAGAGAAUUCAGUUGUCCUAAUUCAUCUGGUAUUUUGCAAACAUUGCGUAUAGUCAAGUAAGCCAAUGAGGUGAGACUGCCCGCACUCCUAACCACCACAUCAUCACAUUCCUUCAACUCCAAUCGACGAAUGGAGGGAGCCAUUGGAAGACAACACACCAGCUGCUCGCAUUUACUAAUCUCAAGUUCUGUUAAUUUAGGAAGGUGUUCGGGUAAAUCCUUUUUCAGAUUUGGACAUUUCUUGAUAUAAAGCUCCUUCAAACAAGGGAAUUCAACUCCACGACAAACCCAUUCCUCCCACUCUAACAUCUCUUCAAACCUCAGAAUCUCUAGGGAUCCAAAUGGCUUAAUUGAAGUUGAACUACAAUAGCUAUUCCCAUACAACUCUACACCAACCUUUCGCACAUCAUCCAUCUUCACAAUACAGAGAUCCUUGAGAGACUGUAAUUGCCCAAGUGGCGGCAAAGACAAGCAAUUUUUACAAUCUCUAAGUUGUAAGAAAACUAAAUUCAUGAACGAAGGAUCUUCUAACCAUUUUGGAAAUUUUAUGCCAUAGAAGCAUUCAAUGAUGAGCCUUUUCACCUUGUUAUGAGGCUGAAGCUUUUCGAGAACUUUGGUUUGAAUCUCCAAGUCACCAACAAUCGCAUUUGGAUCCCAUGCAAACACUAAGUCGUCAAGGUCUUCCUUUUUCAUCAAAUUAACUUCUGUAGCAUUCUCCACAUUCUGCAAGUUUAAAAUGGAGAGUGCUCCUUGCAGGUGUGCAAGAUCUCGUAACUCCCCGAGUCUUGCACCACCAUGCUUGCCAACAACAAAAGUUGUCAACAUUCGAAGAUCUUUUAAUCCAUUGAUUCCCAUCGGCAUCCCUUCUAUUUUUGUUUUGGGAAUAUCCAAAUGACGCAAGUUGAUGAGCUUUCCAAUCUCGGCCGGUAACUCGGUAAGCCAACGACAUUCUGACAAAAUCAAUGAUUGCAAAUUCAAAAGCAUACCUAUUGAUUUAGGUAACUUCCGAAUUUUAGUGUUAGAAAGGUUCAAAUACCGCAAAUGUUUCAAAUUUCCAAAUGAAUCGGGCAAAUAAGUGAUGUUAUAGUAAGAUAAGGAUAAAACCCGCAUACAUCUGAAUUUUGGCAAUACAUCAUGUAGGACUUUAUCACCUAAGUAGCAAGGUAAUUGAUAACCAGGCUUACUUAAUGGUAGGAAGGUCCGUAAUUUAUCAAUGUCACGAAGGGGAUCAAAUUUCUUAGACAUGUCAAAUAGUUCACGAUCAUAUGAAAAAUGUCGAGCAUUCUUCGAAACAUUUUUUUGCUGUCCCAUUUCCAAUCUGAAACAAAAUUCUCCAGAUACAAAUUGAGCCAAAUCGUGAAUCAAAUCAUGCAUCACAAACAUUGACUUAUUAUGACCGGAUUGUUGAAAGAAUGACCUUGAUAAUAGGUUCUGAAAACAUAUUUCACCAACAUCUUCCAUCGUCUCCCCUCCUUUCAAGCUACCCACUAAACCUUGCGCCAUCCACAACAAAAUUAACUCCUCCUUUUGAAAUUCAUAAUCCUUUGGAAAGAUGGAACAAUAUGCAAAGCACUGCUUCACUUUUGUAGGGAGGUAAUGGUAACUCAAGUGUAGAGCCGGAAGAAUUCUACUUUGUUCUGUUCGUAAAUCCCAUAUUUCGCUGUUCAGCAUAUCCUUCCAAGUCUUCUCAUCUUGUUUACAGCGCAACAGACCUGCCAAUGUAUUUGCAGCCAAAGGCAAACCGUCACAUUUCUUUAUUAUUUUCCUACCAAUAGGUUCCAAGUUUUGGCGGGCAUCUGGAGUUACGUUUUCGAAGGCAAUGCCUGCAAAUAGUGACCAACAAUCUUCAUCAGAGAGUUUACUAAGAUGAUGGGAAGAGGUAGUGCGCAUAAUAGAUGCAACAUCUUCAAGACGAGUUGUUACCAUUACCACACUGCCUUGUGCUCCAUUUCUAAAAGGAGCUUGUAAGGUACCCCAGCUAUUGGGGUCCUCAUUCCAUAUAUCAUCCAAAACAAGGAAAAACCUUUUUCCAUUCAACUUUUUCUGCAAACUAUCUUGUAGUGAUUGCAGUGUAUUAGAAGUAUCAGAUGAAUGCUUAGAGACCGACUCUAAAAUUGAUUUCGUUAUCACUACCAAAUCAAACUGAUCAGAUACACACCCCCAACCUCUGAUAUCGAAAUUGUCCCCAACCCUCUUGUCGUUAUAGAUCAUUUGAGCGAGGGUUGUUUUUCCAACCCCACCCAUACCAACAAUCGGAAUCACCUGAACCUUAUCAGCAGUAGCUAUUUCAUCAGAUAGCAACAAUUCCAUGAUCUUCUCCUUAUCACCAUCCCUACCAUAAAACUCAGCCUUAUCUAUCAAAGAAGUAGUCAACCUUUGUUGAGUCACUGAUGAUACCCCUCCAACACUCUGUGUCAGAUCGAGACGAGACUUUCUUUCUACAAUCUUAUCUAAUUGCUCGGUGAUUGUCUUGAUCUUUUGACCAAUCUUCUUAUUGAAUAUCACACCGCUAGGAUGAAAAGAGGGGAUAAGCUUCCGUACCUUGCUGGUGCUGGUUUGGGGCCCUUUGCAUCGCUUAGCCUCCAUGUCAAACUCGUCCAGGACAUCUUCGAUGUCGUAAGCUAAAGCUUUGAGAUCGUCCACCCAACUCUUCACCGCUUCCUCCCGAAUCUGCCUCUGCUCAGCAUCAUGCAGCACUGCUUGGAGAUCCAACAAAGUCUUACUCCACUCCUGGAGCACUGCUGUGUCUACUUUGAUCCGGCGUGCAUAAUCUAACAAAGGGGUAGCCACCAGCUUGUCCAGCACCACCUCAAACAAGGAAGACAGAAACGCCUCCACCACAACCAUCUUUUCUUCCGAAAUGAAGGAAUCAAAGACUCACAGAGAAAUACAACCAGCACGGGAAAUGAAGCUUUUGUGGGAAAAGCCUCUGCUUGUGUACAGACAUGAAGUAGGGAAAAGGAUGAAGAAUUCAUCCAGCUUUAAAUACUGUUUUACCCUUGUCCAUUCUUAAGCUCAUGCUUACUGUAUGGAAGAAUGAGAAAACAGAGGAGGGUAUUUCAGGAAAUUUGUCAAAACUUGACGUCCAAAGCAAAUGCCAAAAAAAAAAUUGUAUAAAUUGACUUGAUUCCGUUGCAAGUGGGGGAAAAAAUAUUACAAGUGGUCGUACGUAGUAGGGAAAAAAAAUAAUGUGCCAAAUUUGAUCCAACUACGAGACACCCAAGAUAUUUAUGCUUUUUCUUUUGUUAUUUUUCUAUGACUUCAAUAAACCAGGCCAUGUUUGGUUCCGAUAAGUAUUAAGAAAAUAUUUUAAAAAUAUUAAAAGAAAAUUAUUUACAAAUCAAAUCAAAAUAUCACCCUUCCUCACAAUGAAAGUACAAAAAAAAAAAAGAAGGGUUCUUUAAGAACUUCCACAAAUUAUACAAUUCUAAAGAACUGUUCUACACGGUUCAAUAUUGAGAAGAAUGGUCAAUUAAUAUUGAAAUAAGGAAAGAAAAUACAAUGCAUACUUUUGAUAUAUCUUGAAUGAAUAAAGCAAUCAGGGAAAGGGAGUGUCACAUGGGUGUGUCUGCACAACAAGCAACCAAAUUGCUUUAUUGCUGUCCACACUCAGUCCAGCUGUUAUGGGGCCAAUUUUUUCAAGAUCGACUCUACCUUGAGAUAUCUCUAACUAAAGUUUCACACAUGCUUGUCUUGGUGAAGUGAUAUAGAAGGAAUUUUUAAUUGUUUAAACCAAAAUUAGUAAUUUAACUUUAAUGUCUCUGAUCAUACUUGUAUAUUACUAUGAUAAUGAAUUAAUUAAUUAUAUAACCGAAAAAGAGGCGACCUACUUCUUUUGUUUUUAUUUUUAUUUUUUUGUUUCAUUGGGUGUACAUAGAGAGUGACCCAUAUUCUCAUCAUAUUAAAUAAGAUAUUUUUGAGAGUUUGAAAGACGAAAGACUCAUAAAAUGUAUUCAAAUAUAUUAUUCAUCUAAGUUUUUUGAUAGAUUAAUAGAAACAUAUUUAAUAGUUGGAAUGGUAUAUAAAAACCUGUUUGAGACUCAUUCCGAUGGGAUUAUAGUACUUCUUAAUAGUUAUAAGUAUGAUUAACAAAGUUAUUAAAAUCACUUUAUAGAAUUAAAGAAUCUUUUGAUUCUUAAACUAGCAUUUAAUAUGUGUUUCUUUAAAAAAUUAUUUUUCUUACAUAAUAUAUUACUAAAAAUGUUAUAAAAAAAUUUAUAUAUGAUACAAAUACCUAGUGGAUUCAAACUUGAUUUUUUAACAUAAAAUCAAUCAAAAUAUGGAAAUUCAAAUAUUCGUAGAGAUUAAAAUCUCUACGCAAGCACUUAAGCACUCCAAGCAGCAAUUGAGCGCUCGAGGGGUUUUAGUGAUUAGGUGCUAAGGAGGUUUUAAAGUUGUUUUUAAAAACAUUUUUUCUAGUUUAAAACAUACGAUUCACACCAUCCUUUAACUCACUCCAAUUCGCCUUUUCCAGAUCUUUUUAUAGUUACCUAUGUUAUCCUAAUUAAUUGUACAACAACCUUAAGUCUGGAAUCUUCAAUGAAAAGUAAGACAAUUUAAAAAGGUUUAAUGAUAAAAAAAAUUAGGAACAAAAUUGUCAACUCUUAAUCACAUAACCUAAUAUAUCAACAAUUCUAAGUUUUUAAAUUCAUAGGAUCUCUUCAUCAUGAAUUCUAGAAUUUCUUUUGUUAUUCUCAUAACAUCAAAUUGAUCAUACAAACAAACCCAAACUCUCACACCAAAAUGGCUCGCCACCCGCUCAUCAUUGUAGAUGGUCUAAGCAAGGGUUCUUUCCAAUCACAUCCAUGCUAACAAUGGAAAUUACAAAGACUCUAUUAUUCAUAGUUGUUUCAUCCAACAUUAGCAAUCAAUAAUCUUCUCCUUAUUAGCAUCUGUACUAUAAACCUAAGUCUCAUCCACCAAAGAAGUAGUUUGUAACUUUUCUUUUGUGGCAAAUGAAAUCCCUUCCUCCGAUACCUUUCCUCAAUUGAAGAUCAUAUUAAAGGAACCAUCAAAGUAGACACAAAAUCAAGUGCAUAAAAGGUUGGAAGACACUUCCAUAAAUAUUUUUAUAAAUCUAAAAAUAAAUUUAAACAUUUUCAACUAAAACAAUAAAAUUUUGUUUUAAAAAAAAAUAGCUUUAAGUCAAAACCGUGGUUGGUGUCUACAGUUCUGCUUAUUUAAAACAAAAUUAAAACUAAAAUUACCCACUACAAUUUUGUCACAUUAAAAAUGUAAAAAAUUAGGUCAUAUAGAUGCAUAUGUGGUUGAAAAAAACCAAUUGGGAAUUAUUUUGGCCAAAAAUCUAGGAUAUGGACUGUUUUUUAAAAUGAAUUAUUUUUGCUCAAAACUCCAUUCAAAUGCUAAACCUUUUCUUUUUUUUCUCUCAUUUCCUAUCUUUUCCUAGUUUCCUUCUCUUAUCCUUCAUUUUCGUCAAUUUUUUUACACUGAAAUUAAAAGGAAAAAAAAUGUUACAAGGUGCAUCUCCAAGCUUUAGGGCAUGAUCUACGAUAGCACCUGCCAGUGCAGCAGUGAACGGUCAUGACCAAAAAAAUGGAAAAGAAACUCUGUUAGGGUUUUGAAUGAGUAGAUGCUGAGAGAUUAACCAAGAAGGUAUUUUAACCCUUUCAUUUGUAAAAUUUACUAUUUAAAAGAAAAAAGUGAAUUUGUGAAGAAUUUAAGUGGAUGUGUUAAUAAAUUCUCUUUUCCAUAUGUUAACAAUAGGUUGAACAAGUGGGUCAUGGGGUAAUUGAGGACUUUAUUGGCAUUGCCAUACCCAUACAUCCAUCAAUUUCAAUAUAUGGGUCCCCUAUAUUGGACCAUUCACAAUAAUGAUUCAGAAUUGGUAGAUUGCAUGGAAGUUCUUGGCAUUGUGGAGUCCACAAAACGCGUGAAUGACUUGACUAAUAGAAAAGCAAGAUUGAUCCCUGAUACCUUCUUGUUACUAAAUUUCAAUUUCAAUGAAAAAGUAUUCUUCAGUCCUUUUCUCUAGAAUCUUAAAGAGUCUGCUCCAUUCAAAUUAACCAUUUUAUGUUCAAUGUGUUUUCGAGUGUUAAUGUGAAAAUAAUUUGGAAGUUCCAAUUUUUAUGCUCGAGAAGUAGCAAAUACCCUCAUUUUUUGAAUUAGCAAAAUAUCAAUGAAAAUAAUUUGCUAAAUUGAAUUAGCAAGUAGCCCCAAUGGGAUAGAACAAUCAUUUUUUGAAUCAAGCCCUACAUUGUCGUGAUCUUGAGGCCUCAAUACCCUCAAUGGGAUCACCAAUUCUACUCGAUGAUCAAUCAUGAAAUGGCAAAUAGUUCUAACCACGGACUUUACAAUUGAACUAAUUAAUCAUUAAUUUAGAUUAAGCGGACAAUUAGCUCUAAUAUUAGAUAAAAUUCCAUCAAGCAAAGGAAACAAUGGCAAUCAUCCACUAUAAAGUGAUGAAAACUGAAAAUGGAGGUAUUUCUAACCACUUACAAAAGUAAAAUGGGAGGAGAGACAGGGAACAUAGUUAAAAGAAUAUCAUUACUAUUCAAAAUGCAAUAAUUCCUAAGAUUUGGAAUCAUAUCAGUAAAGCUGAAUGACUAAAAGAUACUGAAUAGCCCCCUAUCAUGCUGAACUAUAGAAAUAGUACAACUUCAUAAUAUCUCAUCAUAAAACACUCCUAGGGAGAAAUAGAAGGAACAACAUAUAUUGGGAAAAAUGUUUCAUGUAUUCAAAAUUAAAAGACCUAAGAACUGUUGUCAUGUAGGUUUCCAACAGCUGCAAAUGUUGCCAUUUUCGUUGAUAUAUGAAUCAAUAAUGAAGAAGGCGGUUCCUUUCUUUCCACAAUUGUUCAUGUUUUAAUUCCAUCUAUUCAAUGGAGAAAAAAAAAAUACUGAAUAGCUUGUUCUGAUGCCUAGUCAUCCAGUAGUCUGAGUGCUUGUGAUUCUGCACCAAAUUUGCAGCAACUAUGAGAACCAAUUCUCCACUCGCCGCGUCUAUACAUCAUAUGAACAAGCAUCCGUAUACGGAGCCAUAUUUACAACCUAAAAAAGGAUAAAAUGAAAUCAGAAAGAAACAGGUUAUUAUAGUCAAUAACACAUUUUAAUACCCACUUCAAAAAGUAAAAAGGUAAAAUCUAAUUUCCCCACCUUAAGAGUUACUGAAAGGUGCAUGGAGGACAUUAUAGUUCCAUUGUAGCAAGGAGCCAGCAUGAAACUCCAUUAACAUGGAAAACUAUAGUCGUUACAGUAGAAGCCUACAAGUGACGAAUUGCAAUGCACUGUCCAUGAAUAAAAACUUGAUACCGUUUUAAGUAAAAAGAACAAUCCUUGAAGUGAAUUUCCAACAAAUUGCUUUUGUGAAGAACAUAUUCAAUAGCUUACCUACAUCAAUGACAAAUCCUUGCACAUUUCAGUCUACUUCAAACAGCAAUACUCUGUUUUUCCAAAUUUAAUAGCUUCUCUUUUAAUUUUUCCUGUCAAGAUUUUUAGACCAUGUCAAGAUGCACUGCACUAGAUUCUCUUGCACAGCUAAAGAACCCAAUAAAUUUAUCUUCCAUUUACUAUUACCUCAUUUCUCAUACUUGGUUGUCCAUCAUUUCUUCAAGUUAGGGCAUGAGAAUUAAGUUAUUAGGAUGAACAUUAACCUGUAAUUCACAAACUACACUGUUAGCAUGACUGUUCAAAUUUUGACGACCACUGUUGGAUCAUAAAAAGACUUCCAUUUUUUAGUGACAAUAAAUUCAUCUGCAGUGAUCAAAAAGAGGAUUGCUUACACAUGGUUAUAUGGUGACAGAAGACCAUAGUUGAAGGUGGCAGAAAUCUGUCUGAAUACCGUUAGCCGAAGACUGAAGGUAGAGAUAAUACAGAUUAUUUUGAUGAUAGAGUCAGAAAAAACUUCUCAUUAAUAGCAAAAUAGUAAUCUGAGUAUGGAUGUCGUUGAUUCUACAUCUUACCAUGCAUAAUGAUGUACUUGAGUCACAUUCAAGUCAGCAGAAUAGGGACGGGUAUCAAUUGCAUAUCCCUUGCAUAUCAUUUCACUUAUUUGUGAUUCCACGUCACCUUCCCACAAGCAAUCUUGUUGGUCAACAUCCUAGGAGCAAGCAGUUGUAAAUACAUCCACAAAUUUCACAAAAACUCUAAAACUAAGGUGCUAGUGUGAAAGUGCAUCUGCUGUAGGCACAAAAACCAUCUAAUUUGCGUACCUUUUUAUUGUGUUGAAAUUCCAAAGUUUAGAACCUACCAUUUAAUGUUGACUUGAGAAAGGCUCAUUAACCAUCCUGACAUGCUCCAAUGAAGCCUCCAUCAAAUGUCUUUGCAAUGGCUGCUACUUUGGUUCAAGUACCUUUUUCAUAUGCUACAAUGGUGCCAAAUGAAUAAGAAACUGAUAAAACAGUUAAAUAUUUUUUAUCCACCAGUAAACAGUUGAAUGCUUCAUUGAAGGUAAACAAAUUUGUUCAAUUGGAGUUUAUGUUACUCUUUAAUUUCAUGCUAACAGUCUAAAACCAAUUUGGAGGAAAACAGACAAACCAACAGGAAAAAAGACUAUUCAAAGUAAAAGUGAAAUUGAUAAAGGAUUUGAGCAGUAUUGUUGAAAUGAAAGAAGUAAUUUUGUUGAGAGAAGAGAUUACCAAAAUGCAUAAUAAUGGGAAACAAUGUUUCAGCCCUAUCCUAAUUAUCUUGACCAUCAAAAUGGAAACCAGUGAAACAGAACGCAUACGAUAACCUCUGAACCAUACUUUAAAGAUAGAGAGCAGCCUAAUAUAAGCAAAGAUAUAUUGAUAACUCUAAUAGUUCGGUAUUUUCUCUUGGAUAGGUCAUCAUCUUUCAGCCUUUUACAUAACUACUGAAUCUAGUGCAACACAUGGAGAAUGCUUUGCUAAUAUUAACAUUUAUGUUUCAUUUGUACUAUUAAAGAUUAAGAAAUAAUAUAGUUUACAUUUAUAGAAGUAAAAAAUGAAAAUAGGUUGUAGGACAUCAAAAUAAAUCUCUUCUACCUUAAAAGAGAUAACCUAUAGUUUUUCACAAUUGCUUGUAUUUAAUAGUAGUAAAGAAAACUCAAGCAUUUUAUAGAAAAGCGGGUCAAUGCAAAUUAAAGCUAGUAACAUCAUAUGAUCUUCAAAACGUCCAAUAAAAAAAAAAACAUCAUAUGAUCUUCAAAACUAAAUAACAGAAAUGAAAUACCAAAACAAAAAAUCUAGGUAGAAUUUCUACCUAGAUUAUGUCAACCAAAUUAAAGAGUGACAACCAAAUAUUAUAUCAACCGAAGUGUAAAUUAAUAAACAGAACACCAAAUCACAUGAGCUACAACUCUUGACAAGUAGUGCUACCUUCCAAAGAAUGGAGCACUCACAAUUACAAUCCUUCCGCAGAUGAGUAAAAAACUUUUCUUUGGAGCAAGAUCAUGGAAUAAAUGUAAAUGCAUGCAUUUGUCUAAAGGAUUCUUGACUGCUAGCAGCGACUAAAACUCCUAGGAUGGCAAUCUUCAGUGGUCAAAACACCAACAAUAGCAUAGGACAAGUUGUCUUCACAUUAUGAGGUUCAAAUCAUUUGAAUCCACCAUAUAGGUGUGACAGUCCUAGAAAUAGGAUAUAGAUAAGGAGGACAUUUCUAGAAAUAGGAUACAAAUAAGGUUAUCUCCAAUUGAAAUUCAUUGUGUGAAUUCUCAGUAUAAGGCAAAACAAAAUAUUUUUUCAGAAAGUAGAAGACAUACCUAAAAGCAAAGGAUAUUUUGAUAGUGAAAGUGAAAGAGACAUUUUGAUCAUGCUUAUGCGACAUAAAUACCUCUUCCAAACUCUUCAUAGCAUGAAUGGGAAUCUAGGUGUAAGGGUAACCACAUAAUACAGACUUACAGUACUUCACUAAAACAAUGUAGAUUGAAUUUUUAUAGACUGUAAUCCUCAAUAACCAAAUAAAUGACGUAGGAUAGUCAUUCCCAUAUUAUUAAAUUCAAAGCAUUCAGCAAAAGUAGAUAUUAUGUUUGAUGAUUAUAAUUUUAAUACUUUUAUUAAAGAUGAGGGUGUAAAAGAUUUAAUUGAACUUUUAUUAAAGGAAAAAUAAAGAUGUUUGUAUUUUUAGGUAAAUUAUACUGAGAAAGUGUAAGGUCUAGUUUAAUAAUUCUAUCUAAUGUCAUCAAAAGUUGAAUUUGACCUUCAAAUCUUGUUUUUAGCAUUUAAGAAGUUUUUCCAAACAUAGAUUCAAUAAAUAAAAUAUUAUAAAAAUUACUUACAAAUUAUUUAGGGAAACAGAAGAGUAUAAGAAGAUGGCAGGAAUAGGUUUGAAUACUUGAAUUCAAGCUACUAAACCUAAUCACCAAGAGGAGAAUCAGUCUGCAUACCUGAUUAAGCUCUUCCUAUACAGAAUGGCAUGUCCAAGACCUAUUGAAGAGAGAAGAAUGGGAAAGUGGAUUAAUUGCUUAUUGUCUCUAUUUAAUUCCAUGUCCUCGUGAUUCCACAUUAUAGUCUAACCAGCAAAUCUUGAUCAGAAUCUCCAUCCUGGGAUCAGGCAUGUGUAAAUGCAUCCACAUGUUUCCAAAAAUCAAAAAACAAAAAACUCAAAACUAAAUUGUAGGGUAGGGAUUGAUUUAAUUUCCUCUCUUAGACAGGUUUUAGUAUAAAAGUGCAUUUGUGAAAGGCAUAGAAGCUAUCCAAUUUUCAUACCUUUUUAUUGCAUUGAAAUUCCCAAUGUUUAGGACGUGUCAUUUAUGGUUGACAUCAGUAGAAUGCACCUUGACAUGCUCCAAUGGUGUCUCCUUCAAAUAUCCCUCCUGUGGCAGUUAUGCAGGUACAAGUACAGUACCCUUUUUAAAAUGCUUCAAUGAUGCCCAGUGCAGAAGCAGAAUAACAUGAAGUGGGAGACAUGUUUAAACAGCUAACACAUAUAGAAGAAACUGAUGUAACAAUUAAAUCUUCUUUAUCCAGCAGUACUUAGUUGAAUACUUCAUUAAAGUUAAAUAGAGCUGUUCAAUUUUGGAGUUUAUAUUAAUCUUAAUUUCAUACUAGGAGUUUAAAAACAAUUUCAUAGGGAAACUGAUAAAUGUAACAAAAGCGAGGAUGAUUUAAAAUAUUCAGAAUGUAAAGCAAUCUAAGUGUUGUUAUUGAAAUGGAAGAAGUGAUUCUAUUGAGACAAGAGAUGGCAAAAUGCAUAAUAAUAGAGAACACUAUCAUAGAUACCUUGAACAUCAAAUGCAGACAACAAUGGAACAAAAUGCAUUUGAUUAACCUCUGUACCGUAAUUUAAAAAGACCGAGCAGCCUAUCAUUUCUCAAAGUUGUCUAAUCAGGUAUCAUAAUGUGAAAUUGAAAAUGUUUUAUUCCAUAAAUAGUUGGUGAAAUAUACAGUAGGCUUUGCAACUAUAUUUUUGAUGGUUUAACCCAAACCUAGGUGCAACAACUUCCUUUAGUUCAUCAAGCACAUAAACCAUUUCUAUUCACUUAGAAUCUCAACAAUAAGAACUUUUUUACUUGUUCUUUGAUUCAUUAGCUUAUACUCAAUGAUUGGAAAUUUGAAAAAUAUAAGCAAAAAUAUGUGUUGAAUGCGUAAGCAAAAGGAUCCUCUGCUUCUUUCAUGAUGAUUCUAACAGUUCAUCAUUUUUCGUUGGAUAUGACACGAUAGUUCAGCCGUUUACAUAAUUAUUGAGUCUAAAACAACAAAUGGACAGUGCUUUUGUUUACAUAAACAUACCUUUCAAGGAAUGGAGCAGCCGCAAUGGCAAUCCUUAAGCAGAGUACUAAACUUUUGUUUGAAGCAAGAUCAUGGAAUCAAUGCAAUGACAUUGCCUUCAGGAUUUUGGAUUGGUAGCAGUGAUCAGAAAUGCCUAAGAUUGAAAUCUUGAGCAGAGAAAAACAAUCUCUUGACAAGAACAACGACAAACUAGAUGUUGUCCUCACAUUAUGAGAUUCAGAGCAUUUGAAUCCACAUUCAGGUGUGGCCCCUAGUAAAAACAUUAGUUAUCCCUUAUUAAAACUCAUUAUGUGUGAAUUCUUACUACAAGGCAAAGCAUAGAAUUUUUCAGAAAAUAGAAGAUAUACCUAAUUGAGGGCAAGGUACCUUGCAGCUGCUAAUACAUUUUCCAAAACACUCCAUUCUAUCUGAACUUUUUCAAAACAUUCUCUUAUGGAUGAUAUGCCCACAUGUCCUUCAUCGGGUAGGAAAAUUUUGCUCCCUUUGUGGCAUCAUACAUGCAGAUAUCAAAAAGUGCACAAUCUUUCUCUACCAAUGAUAUUAGUCGGAUGCUUUAGACGCAUAGCUGUUUCAAAAAUGAGAAGUUUGUUAAAAGGUCACACCAUAAAACCUACAAAUACUUGUUGAGAACAAAGUCUAAAGUAACAAAGAAAAUGAUAAUCAUAAAAAUUUUGCAAAAUCCAUAAAAAAUUUCAGUCAUCAUGUUUUGUUUAUGUUUCUCAAGGCCCUGCCUUAUCCCAUUUCUAUGAUCUUAAACUCCCUGUUGAGUCACCUUAGGCUAUCCUAGCAAAUUUCAAGCAUUGUUGAAAGCAAACAUCAACAUCAAUCAAAUUUGAUGUUGUCUUAGUUAAACAUCACGUAUUAACAUUGGGGAGUCAAAUCGAUUCUUUGCAAGGUAGAAAUUAUCUCAUAAUGUGAAUUAUUGCUAAAGAAAAUAAAUUACACCUUCAAAAAGUAGAACGAUAGAAGAAGAAUGGUACCUAAUUAGAAUCUAUGAAUACAUUUGUUGAAUCCUUUGACAUAUCUGAAGAAUCUAAAUCGUAAUGUCUGGGAAGGAAUGAUUUGUCUGCUUGGGCUUUACCACGUAGAUUUUUCCAUUUGUUCCCUACAUUUUGAUGUGCUUGCAAAAACCAAGUAGUGAAUCAAGUAAACUGACAAUUCUGGUGGACAACCUUCCUCCAUCAAUAAGAUGAUAGUAGAUACUCCUGCAUCCAAAAUUCUUCAUGACAUGAAUAGUUUUGCAAUGAAUUGUGAUAUUUACAUAUGUGAGCAUAUGUAGAAUUAGAAAAAGGUUAGUUGUGUACACAAGCAAUUUGAAAACCAAUAUCCCAACAAACUAUAACCAAGGAAUGACUUAUAUGAUUUCACACAUAAUAGUUGUUUGAGUUUAUUAACACUUAUAUUCACACAUAAUACAAAACUACUCAAAAAAUGGUUGUUACUGUAGAGAGUUUACAAGAAAACUGUAAAUAUACGUAAUGGUACAAUUUUCACAAAAUUAUAUGAUUUGAAAGUAGGUAUAUUGGGUUUGUGGUCGUCUUAUGAAUCAUAGGUAUAGUUGAUUUUUGGGCUCAAAGGAGAACAUACUUAAUGGGGUUUGCCUUAUCCCAUUUCAAUGACUUAAGCUUGAUGUGGAAUCACCUAAACUUCUUUUAAAAGAUAUUAAGCAUUGUCCAUCAAAAUCACACGAAAAUCAACAAGCUCACAUAUCUAAUACCCCUUUUUUAAUGUACAUGUUUACCUCAUAAUACGGAUUUUUGAUAAAAGUACAAUCAAUUUAAAAUUAAUUUUUUAAAAUACAACACAUUAAAAAAUAUUUCAAAUUCUACAGCAUUUUAUGUCAUAUUGAAAAUUGUCUAUUGAAGAUAUAUCUUCCACGAUUUUCAUAUCGGUCACUUAUUUUUAAAACAAAUUAUAUGAAAGAUGUUUUUUGAAAAAACACUUUCCAUAUUAAAACUAUUAAGAAUUCACAACAAUUUUAACAACGCUGGAAGUUAUCCCUUAAAGAGACACAUUUCACAAUUUUUAUAUUAGGCACAUAUUAAAAAUAACUGAAUUUAUAAUAAAAGUGUCUUUUGAAAAAACAUUUUCCAUAUUGAAAGAAUUACAAAUUUAUACUAAAGAUGACUUUUGAAAAAAACACUUUUCAUAUUAAAAAUAUUGAGGAAUUUACGACAGUUUUGGUCAUGUUGGAAGUUGUCACUUAAAGAAACAAUUUACACAAUUUCAUAUUAGACACACAUUGAAAUUAAAAAAUAAAUUUAUAUUAAAGUUGCCUUUUGAAGUUGUUUAUCUUUAGUAAAAAUUAUCUAAACUUAAAAGAAAAAGAAGUUCUCUUAAAGUUGUUUUUUGAACAAACAACUUCUAUGCAUAAGAAUGUUGUCUUUUAAAGUAACAGUUUUAACAAAACAAACCAAGUAAAAGCAAAAGGCUAAUAAACAUCGAAUACAAUAUUUUCUGAUUAAAAAUGAAAAAACAAUAUAACAAAUUAAUGAUAUAGUUAGUUGCAUUUUUUUUCAAGAUUAAAAAUUUGAAAGUGACUUUGGAAAUCAUUUGGUAACUAUUUUUAAUUUUUUUUUUAAAAACGUUGAUAACAAAAAAUGGAAAAAAGAAAAGCAAAAUUAUAAAAAUAGAGAAUAUAAAAUUAUAUCCAAACUACAUCUAAGUGGUGCUUUGCCUUUAUUCUUUAUUUGAGUGAUACCCCCACAAAUUAUAUCUGGACUCUCUACUGGACCCACUUGAUGUCUCAAAAAUAAAAGAAUUAUAUAAAAGGAAAAAAAUAAAGUCUUAAAAUAUUAGCACCAUUAGGUAGCACAGUCUGGAUGCUAGAGUAGUUAUAAACUUGUUGACUGACGCGGAAUUGGUAAAUGAAAAUAAAACACAAAGCAUAAAGUACCUGGGCCAAUAAAUGCAGAGGAGAGCAAGAGCUUCAAUGGAAGGGCCUCAUGAUAAGAUCACCUCCGUAUUUUUCUUAUCGUAUCUGUCGAACACUAUGCAGGGGAUGUGAGAAAUGUUGGGCCAUUCUUUCCCUUCUUCCCUUUGGCACCGUUUCUUCAGCAGAGGACACCUUCUAAUAUAAAGACGAGAAAGGGAGGAGGGCAGCCCCUGUUUUGGGAAGGACUUGAGCUUUCCACAUUUCCAAAUCUCCAGAGUUUCAAGAGAGGUGAGGUGCUGAAGGCCCUUAUUGUCCAGGGAUUUCAGAUUUGGAAAACCCCUAAUUUGAAGGAAGGUGAGAGUGGAGGGCAGAAAUCUCUCGUCGGGAAAUCUUUCUUUCUCAUAUCCUUCAAUCUCCAACGUUCUAAGAAAGGGUAGCGUUUGCAAGCCCCACUCCAUCCGACAAGCCAAGAGUUUGUUGCAAUUCCCGAUGUGAAGGUCAGAUAAAUUAGUGGGCAAACCUCCUUCUGGAAAUGAAUCAAUUUCUGGACAACUAGAUAUAUGCAAAUAUUGAAGGGAUGUAAGGAGGGCGUGCAUCCCUUGGGGCAGUGACUUAAGUUUUUCGCAGUUACGUAUCCCAAGCCGUCUUAAAUUGGAAGUGGGCAAUCCUCCUCGUGGAAAAGAUACCAGAUUAGGGCAAUUAGAUAUUUCCAAUGACUGGAGAGAUGUGAGUUCCACGUGGUGAAGUCCAUCUGGAAUGUAAAGGGACUCCAGAUUGCCACAAUUUGUGAUAUGAAGAUACUCAAGCUUUGUGAAGAAAGCUAAAGGAAAGGACGUGAGAGAAUCACAAAUUUCAAAUAUAUUUAAUUGAGUAAGGAAAGCGUAGUGGUUGUGCGUCAUAUCCUCAGGCAAUGAUAACUCCAAUUUUUUACAGCACGAGAUGUACAAUUGUUGGAGAGUAGUAUUAUUUUGUAUCAUUCCCUCUGAUAGGGACUUCAGAAUGGGACAGUGAAUAAUUUGAAGCCUUUCAAGCAUUGGUGGUAGCCCCAUCUCUGAACAAGACAAAAGACUGUCACAGUACCGGAUAUCCAAGUGUUUAAGAGAUGUCAAGUUGUGAAGAAUGGGUGGCAUUUCCUUUAGCUCGGGACAACCACUCACAGACAACUUUACAAGAGAAUUCAGUUGUCCUAAUUCAUCUGGUAUUUUACAAACAUUGCGUAUAUCCAAGGAAGCCAAUGAGGUGAGACUGCCCGCACUCCUAACCACCACAUCAUCACAUUCCACCAACAUCAAUUCACGAAUGGAGGGAGCCAUUGGAAGACAGCACACCAGCUGCUUGCAUUCUCUAAUCUCAAGUUUUGUUAAUUUAGGAAG